GAAAAUGUUCAAACUCUACUUUAGUAGCCGAUAAGGGUUGCUAUAGCAAUGCACUCCUCUAAAAAGUCGUCUUCUUUUGCAUGUCGGCCAACUUUCCUUUUGCAUCAUCUUCUUUGAUCUAUAAUACUUCGACCAUACACGCACCAGCAGUAAUAUAUGGAGUAACAUCUGUACUUGCAAAUUUACGAUGGCGAUGAAGUUUUUUUACAAGCCCCAAUUUUACUCCUAAUUCUUUCUUUUUUAGAUUAAAGAUAGGCUUAAGGAUAGGUCCAACUGAAAAUUAGUGCUGUCUGUAAAGUGAUAACCGACAUCAUAAUUAAUACUAGUACAACCAACUGACGAAGAAUAAAAAUUCUAUCUCUAAUCCGAUCAACGCAAAAACAUUGCUUUGCAAAAAAAAAACAGCAGAUAAUAUCGCCAAAGCAAGUAAUUUUUUUUACCUACCUCUAAAACAUUAAUAUACUCA